rnacentral:rRNA from 1 species
ACAGAGGCGGCAAGCGUUGUUCGGAAUUAUUGGGCGUAAAGAGCACGUAGGCGGCCUUGCAAGUCAGUUGUGAAAGCCUUCCGCUUAACGGAAGAACGGCAUCUGAUACUGCAGGGCUUGAGUACGGGAGGGGAGAGUGGAACUUCUGGUGGAGCGGUGAAAUGCGUAGAUAUCGGGAGGAACACCGGUGGCGAAAGCGGAUCUCUGGCGCGUUACUGACGCUGAGGCUCGAAAGCGUGGGGAGCAAACGG